rnacentral:rRNA from 1 species
UUGCUGCGGUUAAAAAGCUCGUAGUUGGAUCUGAGUCGCAUGCAGUGGUUCGCCCUUGGCGUUAAUCACUGUUGUGACUAUUUGCUGGUUUUCUAUUGAAAUUUCGGUUUCUUUAGUGACUAGCGAGUUUACUUUGAAUAAAUUAGAGUGCUCAGAACAAGCGUUUGCUUGAAUGGUCGAUCAUGGAAUAAUAAAAGAGGACUUCGGUUCUAUUUAUUGGUUCAGGAACUGAAAUAAUGGUUAAGAGGGACAAUUCGGGGGCAUUCGUAUCCCUGCGCGAGAGGUGAAAUUCGUGGACCGCAGGGGGACGCCCUAAAGCGAAAGCAUUUGCCAAGAAUGUCUUCAUUAAUCAAGAACGAAAGUCAGAGGUUCGAAGGCGAUUAGAUACCGCCCUAGUUCUGACCGUAAACUAUGCCAUCUAGCGAUCCGAUGGGGUAUUGUUGCCUUGUCGAGGAGCUUCCCGGAAACGAAAGUCUUUCGGUUCCUGGGGUAGUAUGGUUGCAAAGCUGAAACUUAAAGAAAUUGACGGAAUGGCACCACCAGGAGUGGAGCCUGCGGCUUAAUUUGACUCAACACGGGAAAACUCACCCGGCCCGGACACCGUAAGGAUUGACAGAUUGAAAGCUCUUUCUCGAUUUGGUGGUUGGUGGUGCAUGGCCGUUCUUAGUUGGUGGAGCGAUUUGUCUGGUUUAUUCCGAUAACGAGCGAGACUCUAGCCUGCUAAAUAGUGACUAGAUUUUUACGUCUAGUUUACUUCUUAGAGGGAUAAGCGGUGUUUAGCCGCACGAGAUUGAGCGAUAACAGGUCUGUGAUGCCCUUAGAUGUCCGGGGCUGCACGCGCGCUACAAUGGAAGAAUCAGCUGGCCUAUCCAUUACCGAAAGGUAUUGGUAAACCGUUGAAACUCUUCCGUGACCGGGAUAGGGAAUUGUAAUUAUUUCCCUUGAACGAGGAAUUCCUAGUAAGUGUGAGUCAUCAGCUCACGCUGAUUACGUCCCUGCCAUUUGUACACACCGCCCGUCGCUGUCCGGGACUGAGCUGUCUCGAGAGGACUGCGGACUACUGUAUUGAGGCCUGCGGGUCGUGAUAUGGUGGGAAACAGUUCAAUCGCAA